UGGUACACGGAUAACAAUAUUUUAGUCCGGUUCGUUCGGGCCACACUGUUUUUCAUCAUUUGGAAUGUACUCGGUCACGUCCCGUCAAGGGUUUUAGUAUUAGUCAAUUACUCUAUCGUGACGAACUAGAUCUAUUUUGUUAUGCUUAGUUCUCAGUAGUCAGUAAUCAGGCAUUUUAUGUAAAAUAAAAAUUAUUCAUUUUUAAGUUUUGUAUACCAAUCAUCUUGGAGUUGAACAAUAAAUAAUUAUUAUACUGUUUAGUUUUUUAAUAUAUUUUCGUAGUAAGUACCUAUAUUUGGUUACGUAACCUAACCCAACCCAACCCAACCUAACCUAACGUAGAACGCAUUAUUUUUGGUGCUCGACGUCUCGAAGGUAGCUUAUUCAGUUUUCCGCUCUCUGGCUCUCAAGUACUCCGAAGCGAAGCUACGCUAUUCUGCUUCCGUCGCUCGUGUGUAUAAAUUAGGAAUACCAUAGACAUUUUAUCAUAAUAAAACUUUAACCUUAAUAUCCGGAAGCCAAGCUAUUUACCAUGAUGCCUGUUGGUAAAUUUCGUGAAGAAUUGAAGAAUAUCCUUAUAGAACCAAAUACUACAACAAUUACUUCUAUUAAAAAAAUUGUACAAGAAAACAAUUAUUUCAAUCU